GUUUGAUCCUGGAAAGAUUGAACGCUGGCGGCGUGCUUAACACAUGCAAGUCGUACGAGAAAGUUUCACCUUGCUGAAGCGAGUAAAGUGGCGCACGGGUGAGUAACGCGUGGGUAAUCUGCCCCUGGGUUCGGGAUAACCCGCCGAAAGGCGAGCUAAUACCGGAUAACAUCUUUGACACCUCGGUGUUAAAGAUCAAAGGUACCCUCUACAUGUAAGCUUCUGCCGAGGGAUGAACCCGCGUACCAUUACUUUGGUGGUGACGUAACGGCUCACCAAGACUUUGAUGGUUAACUGGGCGCAGAGGAAGAUCAGCCACACUGGAACUGAGACACGGUCCAGACUCCUACGGCAGGCAGCAGGGAAGAAUUUUGCGCAAUGGGGGAAACCCUGACGCACCAACGCCGCGUGAGUCAUGAAGGCCCUUGGGUCGUAAAGCUCUGUCAAGUGGAAAGAAAAUAUGUACUAUAAAUAGUAGUGCGUAUUGACGGUACCGCUAAAGGAAGCACCGGCUAACUCCGUGCCAGCAGCCGCGGUAAUACGGGGGGUGCAAGCGUUAAUCGGAUUUAUUGGGCGUAAAGGGCGCGCAGGCGGCCUGGUAAGUCAGAUGUGAAAGCCCGGGGCUCAACCCCGGAAGUACAUUUGAAACUAUCAGGCUUGAGUAUGGGAGAGGGAAGUGGAAUUCCUGGUGUAGCGGUGAAAUGCGUAGAUAUCAGGAGGAACACCGGUGGCGAAGGCGACUUCCUGGACCAAUACUGACGCUGAGGCGCGAAGGCGUGGGUAGCAAACA
rnacentral:rRNA from 1 species